rnacentral:rRNA from 1 species
UUCUGGCUCAGGAUGAACGCUAGCGACAGGCUAACACAUGCAAGUCGAGGGGCAGCAUAAAAGUAGCAAUACUUGGUGGCGACCGGCGCACGGGUGAGUAACGCGUAUGCAACCUACCUAUCAGAGGGGAAGUAACCCGGCGAAAGUCGGACUAAUACCGCAUAAAACAGGGGCACCGCAUGGUGAUAUUUGUUAAAGAAAUUCGCUGAUAGAUGGGCAUGCGUUCCAUUAGGUAGUUGGUGAGGUAACGGCUCACCAAGCCGACGAUGGAUAGGGGAACUGAGAGGUUGGUCCCCCACACUGGUACUGAGACACGGACCAGACUCCUACGGGAGGCAGCAGUGAGGAAUAUUGGUCAAUGGGCGGGAGCCUGAACCAGCCAAGUCGCGUGAAGGAAGAAGGAUCUAUGGUUCGUAAACUUCUUUUGCAGGGGAAUAAAGUGCAGGACGUGUCCUGUUUUGUAUGUACCCUGAGAAUAAGGAUCGGCUAACUCCGUGCCAGCCGCGGC